rnacentral:rRNA from 1 species
UACGUAGGGUGCGAGCGUUAAUCGGAAUUACUGGGCGUAAAGCGUGCGCAGGCGGUUUUGUAAGACAGAUGUGAAAUCCCCGGGCUUAACCUGGGAACUGCAUUUGUGACUGCAUGGCUGGAGUGCGGCAGAGGGGAAUGGAAUUCCGGCGUGUAGCAGUGAAAUGCGUAGAUAUGCGGAGGAACACCGAUGGCGAAGGCAAUCCCCUGGGCCUGCACUGACGCUCAUGCACGAAAGCGUGGGGAGCGAAACAAGG